GCAAGAUACCACGGGCGCACGGCGGAUGCCUUGGCACAGGGAGCCGAUGAAGGACGCGGCAAGCUGCGAUAAUCCCCGGCGAGGAGCACACAUCCUUCGACCCGGGGGUCUCCGAAUGGGCGAACCCAUCCACAGCAGUGUGGAUAUCCCCACCCCGAACACAUAAGGGUGGGGAGGACAACCCGGGGAACUGAAACAUCUAAGUACCCGGAGGAGAGGAAAUCAAUCUCGAGACUCCCCGAGUAGCGGCGAGCGAAAGGGGACCGAUGGCCAAACCGUCGAGCGGGCAUACCCGGCAGGGGUUCCGCCGACGGGGUUGCAGGGCCGCGCAUCCGGGGGCUGCCGCCCCCGGGCGCAGGUCCGGCUGGGGAGCGGAACGGCAUGGGAGGGCCGGCCGCAGCGGGUGACAGCCCCGUACGCGAACCCAGACCGGACGGCGCGACGCGGUCCCUGAGUAGGGCCGGGCACGUGAAACCCGGUCCGAACCUGGGUGGACCACCAUCCAAGCCUGAGUACUACCCUGUGACCGAUAGCGCACCAGUACCGUGAGGGAAAGGUGAAAAGCACCCCGGGAGGGGAGUGAAACAGUACCUGAAACCGUGCGCCCACGAGCAGUCGGAGCACCCUUGUGGUGUGACGGCGUGCCUUUUGUAGAAUGAGCCAGCGAGUCGCUGGCGCGGGGCGAGGUUAACCGAAAGGGAGCCGGAGCGAAAGCGAGCCUUAACAGGGCGACUUGAGUCCCGCGCCGCGGACGCGAAGCCGGGUGAGCUAUCCGUGGGCAGGCUGAAGCGGGGGUAAGACCCCGUGGAGGGCCGAACGCACGUCGGUUGAAAACGGCGGCGAUGACCUGCGGAUAGGGGUGAAAGGCCAAUCAAACCCGGAGAUAUCUCGUUCUCCCCGAAAUAGCUUUAGGGCUAGCGUCGCGCGUUCACCGCCGGAGGUAGAGCACCGGAUGGACGAGGGGGCUUCGCCGCCUACCGAAUCCAACCGAACUCCGAAUGCCGGCGGCCCAGAGCGCGGCAGUCAGAGCAUGUGGGCUAAGCUGUGUGCUCGAGAGGGAAACAGCCCGGACCGCCCGCUAAGGUCCCCAAGUUCCAGCCGAGUGGCAAAGGAUGUGCGUCCGCCCAGACAACCAGGAUGUUGGCUUAGAAGCAGCCAUCCAUUCAAAGAGUGCGUAACAGCUCACUGGUCGAGUGGACAUGCGCCGACAAUACACGGGGCUAAGCUGGACACCGAAGCGGCGGGAUUUUAAUUCAUUAGAAUCGGUAGGGGAGCUUCCCAUGGGCGGAGAAGCCGGAGGGCGACCGACGGUGGAGCGCAUGGGAGUGAGAAUGCUGGCAUGAGUAGCGAGAGACGAGAGAGUAACUCGUCCGCCGUGAACCCGAGGUUUCCUGGGCAAGGCUAAUCCUCCCAGGGUCAGUCGGGGGCUAAGGCGAGGCCGGUAGGCGUAGCCGACGCGCAGCAGGCAGACAUUCCUGCACCGCGCACGCGGCGCUACGACCGACGGGGCGACGGAUGGGGGUGGCUCGGCGGGGUUCUGGACGUCCCCGUGAUGGAGCGCGGCCCGCGGACCAGGGAAAUCCGGUCCGCAUCGAGGGCGAGGCUCCGGACGAAGCACUUAAGCGAAGCGAGUGAGCCCGAGGUCCCUAGAAAAACCCCUAGGCAGGCGCGUGCGCGCCCGUACCGCAAACCGACACAGGUGGGUGGGUAGAACAUACCGAGGCGAUCGGGUCAACCAUGGUCAAGGAACUCGGCACAAUGGCCCCGUAACUUCGGGAGAAGGGGUGCCCGCGCGUACGUGAACCGGCUUGCCCGGGGAGCGGAGGCGGGCCGCAGUGGAGAGGCCCAAGCGACUGUUUACCAAAAACACAGGACUCUGCAGAAGCCGCAAGGCGACGUAUAGGGUCUGACGCCUGCCCGGUGCCGGAAGGUCACGCGGAGGAGUUAGCCGAUUCGGCGAAGCCCCGAAGCCAAGCCCCGGUAAACGGCGGCCGUAACUAUAACGGUCCUAAGGUAGCGAAAUUCCUUGUCGGGUAAGUUCCG
rnacentral:rRNA from 1 species